rnacentral:rRNA from 1 species
AGUGAACGCUGGCGGUAGGCCUAACACAUGCAAGUCGAACGGCAGCACAGUAAGAGCUUGCUCUUACGGGUGGCGAGUGGCGGACGGGUGAGGAAUACAUCGGAAUCUACUUUUUCGUGGGGGAUAACGUAGGGAAACUUACGCUAAUACCGCAUACGACCUACGGGUGAAAGCAGGGGAUCUUCGGACCUUGCGGGAUUGAAUGAGCCGAUGUCGGAUUAGCUAGUUGGCGGGGUAAAGGCCCACCAAGGCGACGAUCCGUAGCUGGUCUGAGAGGAUGGUCGGCCACAUGGGAACUGAGACAGGGUCCAGACUCCUACGGGAGGCAGCAGUGGGGAAUAUUGGACAAUGGGCGCAAGCCUGAUCCAGCCAUACCGCGUGGGUGAAGAAGGCCUUCGGGUUGUAAAGCCCUUUUGUUGGGAAAGAAAAGCAGCAGGUUAAUACCCCGCUGUUCUGACGGUACCCAAAGAAUAAGCACCGGCUAACUUCGUG